rnacentral:rRNA from 1 species
GAUGAACGCUGGCGGCGUGCCUAAUACAUGCAAGUCGAGCGAACAGACGAGGAGCUUGCUCCUCUGACGUUAGCGGCGGACGGGUGAGUAACACGUGGAUAACCUACCUAUAAGACUGGGAUAACUUCGGGAAACCGGAGCUAAUACCGGAUAAUAUAUUGAACCGCAUGGUUCAAUAGUGAAAGACGGUUUUGCUGUCACUUAUAGAUGGAUCAGCGCCGCAUUAGCUAGUUGGUAAGGUAACGGCUUACCAAGGCAACGAUGCGUAGCCGACCUGAGAGGGUGAUCGGCCACACGGGAACUGAGACACGGUCCAGACUCCUACGGGGAGCAGCAGUAGGGAAUCUUACGCAAUGGGCGAAAGCCUGACGGAGCAACGCCGCGUGAGUGAUGAAGGUCUUCGGAUCGUAAAACUCUGUUAUUAGGGAAGAACAAAUGUGUAAGUAACUAUGCACGUCUUGACGGUACCUGAUCAGAAAGCCACGGCUAACUACGUG